ensembl:snRNA U6 U6 spliceosomal RNA
CAAAAAUCAUAGUUUGCUUCAAAAUCAGAAUGGUAUAGAGAAGAUUAGUAUGGCCCCUGGGCAAAAAUAAGGUGUAAAUUUGUGAAGCAUUCCAUAUUAAA